rnacentral:hammerhead_ribozyme from 1 species
UUCUCAUUGGCGAGUCCUAAAUAGAACGAAACGCGCGUCCUGGAU